rfam:Lentinula edodes NBRC 111202 DNA, contig: scaffold390.
GGGCAUAUGGUGUAGGGGUUAUCACGUUCGCUUUGCAUUCAGAGAUGCGAAAGGUCUCCGGUUCAAAUCCGGAUUUGUCCA